GUUUUUGAACAAAAUUAUGGUUUUGUGAGAUGUAUUGGUUCGUGCUAAAUUUAUGAUACAUUAUCUAUUACAUAUUAUUACAUAUAACUCAUUAUUUAUUAAUUUUUACUAUAUAUAAAUGUGUGCAUUUCAUAUAAAUAACAUGCUCAGCCAAAGCGCCGGCCCAGCCGGCGGCGGCAGGCAAUAAAAGACCAAUGAAAUUCCCGUACAAUCAACGUUCAG
rnacentral:lncRNA from 1 species